GGGUUGUGAGGUUAAGCGACUAAGCGUACACGGUGGAUGCCCUGGCAGUCAGAGGCGAUGAAGGACGUGCUAAUCUGCGAAAAGCGCCGGCGAGGUGAUAUGAACCCUUGACCCGGCGAUGUCCGAAUGGGGAAACCCAGUGUGAUUCGUCACACUAUCGUUAACUGAAUACAUAGGUUAACGAGGCGAACCGGGGGAACUGAAACAUCUAAGUACCCCGAGGAAAAGAAAUCAACCGAGAUUCCCCCAGUAGCGGCGAGCGAACGGGGAGCAGCCCAGAGUCUGAAUCAGCUUGUGUGUUAGUGGAAGCGUCUGGAAAGUCGCACGGUACAGGGUGAAAGUCCCGUACACGAAAAUGCACAGGCUGUGAACUCGAAGAGUAGGGCGGGACACGUGGUAUCCUGUCUGAAUAUGGGGGGACCAUCCUCCAAGGCUAAAUACUCCUGACUGACCGAUAGUGAACCAGUACCGUGAGGGAAAGGCGAAAAGAACCCCGGCGAGGGGAGUGAAAAAGAACCUGAAACCGUGUACGUACAAGCAGUGGGAGCACCUUCGUGGUGUGACUGCGUACCUUUUGUAUAAUGGGUCAGCGACUUAUAUUCUGUAGCAAGGUUAACCGUAUAGGGGAGCCGAAGGGAAACCGAGUCUUAACUGGGCGUUAAGUUGCAGGGUAUAGACCCGAAACCCGGUGAUCUAGCCAUGGGCAGGUUGAAGGUUGGGUAACACUAACUGGAGGACCGAACCGACUAAUGUUGAAAAAUUAGCGGAUGACCUGUGGCUGGGGGUGAAAGGCCAAUCAAACCGGGAGAUAGCUGGUUCUCCCCGAAAGCUAUUUAGGUAGCGCCUCGUGAACUCAUCUUCGGGGGUAGAGCACUGUUUCGGCUAGGGGGCCAUCCCGGCUUACCAACCCGAUGCAAACUACGAAUACCGAAGAAUGUUAUCACGGGAGACACACGGCGGGUGCUAACGUCCGUCGUGAAGAGGGAAACAACCCAGACCGCCAGCUAAGGUCCCAAAGUCAUGGUUAAGUGGGAAACGAUGUGGGAAGGCCCAGACAGCCAGGAUGUUGGCUUAGAAGCAGCCAUCAUUUAAAGAAAGCGUAAUAGCUCACUGGUCGAGUCGGCCUGCGCGGAAGAUGUAACGGGGCUAAACCAUGCACCGAAGCUGCGGCAGCGACACUCUGUGUUGUUGGGUAGGGGAGCGUUCUGUAAGCCGUUGAAGGUGGCCUGUGAGGGUUGCUGGAGGUAUCAGAAGUGCGAAUGCUGACAUAAGUAACGAUAAAGCGGGUGAAAAGCCCGCUCGCCGGAAGACCAAGGGUUCCUGUCCAACGUUAAUCGGGGCAGGGUGAGUCGACCCCUAAGGCGAGGCCGAAAGGCGUAGUCGAUGGGAAACAGGUUAAUAUUCCUGUACUUGGUGUUACUGCGAAGGGGGGACGGAGAAGGCUAUGUUAGCCGGGCGACGGUUGUCCCGGUUUAAGCAUGUAGGCGGAGGUUCCAGGUAAAUCCGGUACCUUUUAACGCUGAGGUGUGAUGACGAGGCACUACGGUGCUGAAGUAACAAAUGCCCUGCUUCCAGGAAAAGCCUCUAAGCAUCAGGUAACACGAAAUCGUACCCCAAACCGACACAGGUGGUCAGGUAGAGAAUACCAAGGCGCUUGAGAGAACUCGGGUGAAGGAACUAGGCAAAAUGGUGCCGUAACUUCGGGAGAAGGCACGCUGAUAUGUAGGUGAAGCCCCUGCGGGUGGAGCUGAAAUCAGUCGAAGAUACCAGCUGGCUGCAACUGUUUAUUAAAAACACAGCACUGUGCAAACACGAAAGUGGACGUAUACGGUGUGACGCCUGCCCGGUGCCGGAAGGUUAAUUGAUGGGGUUAGCGGUAACGCGAAGCUCUUGAUCGAAGCCCCGGUAAACGGCGGCCGUAACUAUAACGGUCCUAAGGUAGCGAAAUUCCUUGUCGGGUAAGUUCCGACCUGCACGAAUGGCGUAAUGAUGGCCAGGCUGUCUCCACCCGAGACUCAGUGAAAUUGAACUCGCUGUGAAGAUGCAGUGUACCCGCGGCAAGACGGAAAGACCCCGUGAACCUUUACUAUAGCUUGACACUGAACACUGGUCCUUGAUGUGUAGGAUAGGUGGGAGGCUUUGAAGCGUGGACGCCAGUCUGCGUGGAGCCGUCCUUGAAAUACCACCCUUUAAUGGCUGGUGUUCUAACGUAGACCCGUAAUCCGGGUUGCGGACAGUGUCUGGUGGGUAGUUUGACUGGGGCGGUCUCCUCCCAAAGAGUAACGGAGGAGCACGAAGGUUAGCUAAUCCUGGUCGGACAUCAGGAGGUUAGUGCAAUGGCAUAAGCUAGCUUGACUGCGAGAGUGACGGCUCGAGCAGGUGCGAAAGCAGGUCAUAGUGAUCCGGUGGUUCUGAAUGGAAGGGCCAUCGCUCAACGGAUAAAAGGUACUCCGGGGAUAACAGGCUGAUACCGCCCAAGAGUUCAUAUCGACGGCGGUGUUUGGCACCUCGAUGUCGGCUCAUCACAUCCUGGGGCUGAAGUAGGUCCCAAGGGUAUGGCUGUUCGCCAUUUAAAGUGGUACGCGAGCUGGGUUUAGAACGUCGUGAGACAGUUCGGUCCCUAUCUGCCGUGGGCGCUGGAGAAUUGAGGGGGGCUGCUCCUAGUACGAGAGGACCGGAGUGGACGCAUCACUGGUGUUCGGGUUGUCAUGCCAAUGGCACUGCCCGGUAGCUAAAUGCGGAAGAGAUAAGUGCUGAAAGCAUCUAAGCACGAAACUUGCCCCGAGAUGAGUUCUCCCUGAGACUUCAAGUCUCCUGAAGGAACGUUGAAGACGACGACGUUGAUAGGUCGGGUGUGUAAGCGCAGCGAUGCGUUGAGCUAACCGAUACUAAUGAACCGUGAGGCUUAACCUUACAACGCCGAAG
rnacentral:rRNA from 1 species